rnacentral:rRNA from 1 species
AUUGAACGCUGGCGGCAGGCCUAACACAUGCAAGUCGAGCGAGCGGAGGACGGGUGAGUAAUGUCUGGGAACAUGCCUGAAGGAGGGGGAUAACUACUGGAAACGGUAGCUAAUACCGCAUACCAUCAGAUGUGGCCAGAUGGGAUUAGCUAGUCGGUGGGGUAACUGCUCACCUAGGCGACGAUCCCUAGAUGGUCUGAGAGGAUGACCAGCCACACUGGGACUGAGACACGGCCCAGACUCCUACGGGAGGCAGCAGUGGGGAAUAUUGCACAAUGGGCGCAAGCCUGAUGCAGCCACGCCGCGUGAGUGAAGAAGGCCUUCGGGUUGUAAAGCACUUUCAGCGGGGAGGCGUUACCCGCAGAAGAAGCCACGGCUAACUCCGUGCCAGCAGCCGCGGUAAUAC